UAGUGGCGAACGGGUGAGUAACACGUGGGCAAUCUGCCCUGCACUCUGGGACAAGCCCUGGAAACGGGGUCUAAUACCGGAUAACACUCCUCCUCGCAUGGGGAGGGGUUAAAAGCUCCGGCGGUGCAGGAUGAGCCCGCGGCCUAUCAGCUUGUUGGUGAGGUAGUGGCUCACCAAGGCGACGACGGGUAGCCGGCCUGAGAGGGCGACCGGCCACACUGGGACUGAGACACGGCCCAGACUCCUACGGGAGGCAGCAGUGGGGAAUAUUGCACAAUGGGCGAAAGCCUGAUGCAGCGACGCCGCGUGAGGGAUGACGGCCUUCGGGUUGUAAACCUCUUUCAGCAGGGAAGAAGCGAAAGUGACGGUACCUGCAGAAGAAGCGCCGGCUAACUACGUGCCAGCAGCCGCGGUAAUACGUAGGGCGGGGAGCGUUGUCCGGAAUUAUUGGGCGUAAAGAGCUCGUAGGCGGCUUGUCGCGUCGGUUGUGAAAGCCCGGGGCUUAACCCCGGGUCUGCAGUCGAUACGGGCAGGCUAGAGUUCGGUAGGGGAGAUCGGAAUUCCUGGUGUAGCGGUGAAAUGCGCAGAUAUCAGGAGGAACACCGGUGGCGAAGGCGGAUCUCUGGGCCGAUACUGACGCUGAGGAGCGAAAGCGUGGGG
rnacentral:rRNA from 1 species